CGGGGGGCUUUUAACUGCAAGUCGAACGGCAGCGCGAGAAAGCUUGCUUUCUUGGCGGCGAGUGGCGAACGGGUGAGUAAUGUAUCGGAACGUACCCAGUAGCGGGGGAUAACUACGCGAAAGCGUGGCUAAUACCGCAUACGCCCUACGGGGGAAAGGGGGGGAUCGCAAGACCUCUCACUAUUGGAGCGGCCGAUAUCGGAUUAGCUGGUUGGUGGGGUAAAGGCCUACCAAGGCGACGAUCCGUAGCUGGUUUGAGAGGACGACCAGCCACACUGGGACUGAGACACGGCCCAGACUCCUACGGGAGGCAGCAGUGGGGAAUUUUGGACAAUGGGGGAAACCCUGAUCCAGCCAUCCCGCGUGUGCGAUGAAGGCCUUCGGGUUGUAAAGCACUUUUGGCAGGGAAGAAACGGCCCGGGAUAAUACCCUGGGGUUAUGGACGUACCUGGCAAAUAAACCCCGGCUAACUACCUGGCCACCGCCCCCGGAAUACCUAAGGGGGCAGCGGUAAUCCGAAUUUCUGGGCGUAAAGCGUGGCCCAGCCGUUCCGAAAAAAAGGGGGGGAAUCCCCAGGCUUAACCUUGGAACUUGCCCUUUUACUUACGGGGUAAAAUACCGCCGAAGGGGGGAAAAAUUCACGUGGAACCAUGAAAUGGCUUAAAAUGGUGAAGAAUAACCAUGGCCAAAGGCGCCCCCCGGGAAGAAACUGGACCUCCAGGCCGAAAGCCUGGGGAAGAACCAGGAUAAAAACCCUGGUAUCCCCGCCCAAACAUGGUCACUAGUGGUGGGGUUUAUUAACUUAACAACCGCACCCAAGCAGGAAAUA
rnacentral:rRNA from 1 species